AGGUAUCCAUUAAAUAUUCUAUAAUAGUGGCUGCACCUGUCCCUAUUAUCCUAGGACUUCUUUUUAAUAAUAUAACUUUAAUAUUGUAGGGGACUACUUGUAUAUGUGCCAUGUGUGUGAUAAACAAUAUUCAACCAAAGGAAAGUUGAAUUUUCAUUUGAAGACUCAUCAAGAAGCACAAUAUGAAUGUCCUUUAUGUGGUAAACGAUUUUCUACCCUCCAAUAUUUAAAUAACCACAAGAAAGUACAUCCAGAUCAAGUAAGUAAAAUGAUUUAAUAGUAAUGUUAUACUAGUUAAAUUAAAAAUGUAAUCAGAAGUGUUUAGAAUUCGUUAGGAUUUAUCUGUGAUGUGUGUCAAUUGACUUUCAAUAAAAGAAGAUCUUUUCUUGCUCAUAGAAAACAAGAACAUCCAUAUAAUAUUUUUAAAUGUUCUUCAUUAGAUUGUGAUAAGGAAUUUUCAACAAUUCAGUUAUUAAACAGGCAUAUUAAACGGUUACAUGAAACAAAUGAAAAGUGAGUACAAUAAUUUCUAUAUAUUAUUGUCUGUAAUUGUACAAUAUUUUAAUUGAUACACUUAAUAAUCUAGCAAGCCUGUAAUAUGUACAGAGUGUGGAAAAUCAUUCAAUUUUCCUAAUUAUCUAAAAAAACAUAUUGCCAGGGUACAUGGUCCGAAACGUUUACCGAAAUUUAAAUGUCGACAGUGUCCUAUGCGUUUUGAUAAUGAUGUAAUGUUAUAUGUUCAUAUGCAAUCGCAUCCAAAGGUAUGAUAUAUUUACUGAAGAAUUACAUUUUUAUUACUUUGACCAUUGUUUUUAUAAUAUUACACUAAAAUAUUUUAAAAUCACUAAAAGUUUUGAAAAUUAACCUUGUAUUAGGUAUUUUGAGGAUAACAAAUCAAGCCCGUAUACAGGGGAGGUAGAAGUUCACCCUCCCCUCCCCCCGAAUUUUUUCAUCAUUUUUAUUAUAUUUAUUUAACGGAUGAGACACUUUUUUAAAUAAUGUGUAGGAAAAGUAAAUUUUAAAGAAAUUUAGUACAUACUAAUUAAAUAUAAAUAACAAAUAAAUGUAAUAAAGAAACAUAAACUAAAAAACUAGGAUCCAUAUUGGCGUUCGACAUUAAUCUUCUCAUUGGUUCAUUAGCUAAAGAGUUUGUGGUGGCAUGAGGGACAUAAAAGAAGCCAUGGAUCUAGUGAAACGUUGAGGUACUUUAAAGUAUAAUAGCGAAACAAGAUCAAUGGAUUCAACUUUGUCAAUUUACAGUCUUCCAAUCUACAACUAGCAGUUCACCUUUGCUCAGCCAACGAGGAAAACCCAAUAAGAUUAGCCACUAGUGAGUAGUCAUCGAGUUGAACAGUGGAUUUUUAAAAAUAUAAAUAGCAAAACGUAAAAACUUAUUCUGAGCUCGUUAAAUUUGCCUUUUCUCACAAGCAGUAUAAAGAUCCCAACAGUGCAUCUAUACUCUAUAAUAGUGCGUACAAUGGUACAGAAAAGUACCUUGAUUGAAACACUUAGAUUCUGUUUAUUAGCCAACCUAAUAAUAAAGCUUAGCAAUUUAAAUGAAAGAUGAACAAUUGACCAACAGGUUAAUCAAUCAACAGGACAAUUGACCGACAACUAAAAUACCGAUAGGAAAAUUGAUUAACAAUAAUAUAUAAAGUAUUAAUUUUCAUCCUCUGAUGAACUGGAUCUCGUUACAUCUGGAAUUACUCUCUAGACCGCUCUCUUUUCUAAUGGUUUCUCCUUUCUAGAUCUCUUUCAGUGUAACCAAAUCUUUAACUGCUCUAAUAAUAUUUUAGAUUUGGUAAUCUCUAAUUCAUGUGACCUGUCGAUUAACAAAGCUCUUACUGCUCUUGUCAGUACUGAUGCAUACCACCCCCUCUUGUUUAUUGAAUUAAAAUUACAGAGCAAUCCUAGACACAGUUUUCAACACAUUUUCUUCGAUUUCAAAUCUGGAGACUAUGAUUUUAUCUCAAAAUUCUUCGAUUCCUUCAACUGAGAGUCCGUCUUCUCUAGAUACUCCACUAACGAUACAGCCACUGUCUUCAAUGAUGCUUUUCUUAACUCCAUAAAUAAAUUUAUCCCUCAUAGGUCUUUUCUACACCAAAAUUCCCUUUAAAAAAUCUAAUACACUAAAAGCAACUUGCACAUAAAGCCUAUAAACUAUCUAACCAGGCAAUAGGUUCUUCAACUUUCUCUGAGCUCAUUGCUAAAUGCAAGUGCCUUAGCUAAUUAUAGGUCUUUUAUAUCUAACUUUGAGCAUUUUCUCACCACAGAUCCUUCUUCUUUCUGGAAGUACAUCAAGAACCUAAAGCAAAAUUCUCAAAUUCCUUCAUCAGUCUAUCUGUUGAUAAAGUAGCAAGUUGUUCCUCUGACUCAGCUAACCUUUUUUCAAGUACUUCUCCUCAGUUUUCAAGCGACCGUCAGCCGUUCCCUGUAGUCCGUCUAACACAUUACAUUUUUCGUAUAGCCUCCUCCAAUUGCUUCCUUUUUUGUACUGACGUUCUUGCUGAGCUCGCCAAAUUAAAGAACAACCUUUCUAAUGGGCCCUAUCUUAUUUCUGCUCGCAUGCUUUAUAGGUGUCAUAAUUCUUUAGUUUACCCUAUUUUUCUUUUAUUAAGUGCUCCCUUUCUGAAGGCAUCUUCCCUGACAUCUGGAAGAUCUGUUUCAUAACACCUAUUUUGAGAUUUGGUGAUUCUUCAGAUGUCUCCAACUAUAAGCCUAUCUCCAUUCUUCCACAUCCUGCAAAAAAUCUUCAAAUCAAUAGUUUAUUUCUAUAUUAGUAGUUAGGUCAACAAUAUUAACCUUUGUCUAGACAUCGGGAAGUGUCAUGUUAUGUCUUUUUCCAAAUCCCUCUCUUAUCUCCCAUCAAUACUCCCUUAGUGACCCCCCUCACUUAAUCACGUCACUGUGGUUAAAGAUCUAGGUAUCUAUUAAACAUCCAAUUUGUCUUUUGAUCACUAUAUAAAUUUGACCAUUGGCCGAGCUUUAAGAGUUCUGGAAUUCAUCAGGCGGAACACUUCUGACUUUACCUUUCGCCUCUGCCUCCGUGCACUUUCUCAUCACUCGUUCGCUGUUUUCUUGAAUACGGCGUAGUACUUUGGCAUCUCCACUUCGCUCACUACCAACUUCGUAUUGAGCGCGUGAAGAAUAAGUUUCUUUUGCUUGCUUCUUAUCUGCUCAAAAUUGACCAUCCAAACACGACUGUUCUAUUAUCCGCUCUGCCCUAGAUCUACCUACCCUUCACUCUCGCCUUAUUAAGGCCGAUUUUUUUUUCGCCUCCUCUUUUCAAUGGAACCAUCGAUGCUCCAGAUUUACUAUCAAUCAUAUCUUUCCGGGUCCUCACUUACCCCUUCAGAACUCAUUCCUUGUUCCACCUACCACAACACCGCACCUCUUAUGGGCUUAACAAUCUCCUCCACCGUGCUUUGCGUCAAUUAAUUAAGGCUUAAUCCAGGCCCUCUUUUUACCUAGAUUUAAGUUAGCCCGCUUUUGUUACCUUUCCCAACUAGUUUUAGUUUAGUCUAAGUUCCAUCUUGUACAAAAUUUCCAGUUUUGGCGUUAAAUUAUUAAAAUGAAAUAACGCCAUGCAAUUUAUAUUUUUAUUUUAAUAAUCUAUUCAAAUCUAUGUAUAAUAAUAAACGUAUAUACAUUUAUAUAUAAUAAACGUAAUUUGAUGUAAAAUUAUUUUAUGACUAUAGUCGUGUAAUUACGUGGGUUUUAUAAUGUAGAAAAAAACGAGUAGUAAUUAUAAUUUAUCGUACGCGAACAAUUAUUAUUAUUGGUUUUUUUUUAUUAUUAUUUUAGAUUCCAAGUGUAGCGAGAGUACUAAUUUUCUAGGGACUGAGCAAAAAUUUUGGUACGUCGAAAUUUGUUAUAUCAAAAGCAUAAAUCAACAAAUUUCGUUUUAACGAGAUUUAAUUAAAAAUUCUUAUUGGAUUAUUAUACAUAAUUACAUACAUAAGAUAUUAUUACAAUUUUAUUAGAUACAAACGUGAAGUUAGGUUAGGAACAGAACAGGUGUUAUUAUUUAUUAAUUAACUAAUUUUUUUUUUUUAUUUUAAAUCGGUUAUUUGUUUUUUUGUGUAGUCACUUGCGCUUACCCGGUCAAUAGCAUUGUCCAAAUUUAAAAUGCUACAAACACACUGUCAUCGAUGUCAUGUCUCUGUAAGUAAUUUAAGACGGCGCGAAGCUCUGAUUUUGCUUCCUUCAAGGUUGCGGUUUAAUGAUAAUCGCUAAAAAUAACUGCGGAAUAGCAAGCUUGAUUUAUAUUUAGCAGAUAUUUUAUAAACGACGAAAUUAAUUUUUCGCGUGGUAAUAACCGAAACAAAAUCGUAAAAUUCGUAAUAUCAGGUUCCACGAUUGUAAAACUUCGUUACAUUACAAGAGGAUAAAAAAUGCGUUAUAUAGAGGGGACAAAAAUACAUUUAAUUUUUCGUUAUAUCACAAGAUAUUCAAGGGAAUGACAGUUUUAUUCGUUACAUCGAGAUUUUCAUUAUAUCAUAAGUUGACUGUAUAUUAUUGUUGGUCAAUUGUCCCUGUCGAUAUUUUAGGUUGCUUGUUGAUUGGCCUGUCGGUCAAUUGACCCAGACCCGAAUUAAACGCCUUGCAGCAUAUAUAUAUCGUUUUGACACAAGGUUGAAAGUAAAUUUAAAACUAAGAUCUAAAAUACUAUCAGUUACACGCAGAAUAUUGGCUGGAUUAAAGGCGUACGAAAAAACCACAGGAGAUUGAAUUCUAGCAAAAGUAAAAACUUUACACUUAGAAGUAUUAAUUGACAAACCCAGAGCACUAAACCAAUCAGAAAAUCUAUCGUGGUCAGUUUGUAGCAAACGGCAAUUAGAAUUGUGUACAGGCUAGAAAAGUCAUCAGCAAAACAAAGAAUACGGGAGUGUUACAGUACUCAGUGCACACGGUUAAUGAAUAGUGAGACAACAAUGACGUCAAGUGUCUCCCUUACGGAACUCUCGAUAUAACCAGAAAUGGGUUAGGUCUAUAUAAUAACUAGGACGCAGAUUUCAAAUCAUUAGCUUCUUUUUCUCUAUAUGCAGUAUAAAUCCAAUGUUUUUACAGAGCAAUGGUGCCAAAGUAGAAAAAUAAAUAUAGGACAUAAUAAUAACAAUAAUAACAAUAUAGGACCCUCAGAGUCGGACUUCGAGAUUCUCUAGCCAUUUUAUUGCCAUUGGACCAUAUUCAUGCAGCGCAGAUACACUUAUACUUCUUACAUACUUUUUAUUGCUUUUAUCAAACAGUUAUAUACAUUUUUGGUUCUUAGUGUAGCGUAGAAUGUAUUGGUUUUACAAAGAUGAUUAUUAUUUUUUUGGUCUUUUUAUGUGAACAUUUUAUACCUGAUAGGUUACUUCGAUGCAUACGAUGUUGACUCUUUUCUGAAAGGAAAUUUUCUUGGAGUGGUACUUUAAAUAGAUCAUUUUUCGAUUUUCUCAGGAGUGUUCUUAUUAAAUGUGAAAAACGGGAAAAUUUACGAAAUAUAUUACUAAAAUAUUACAAUUUUUUUUUUCCGUGAACAACUUUUUUACCACGAGUUUUGCUCUAAAUUACAAUGAUAAUACUUUUUUUGAAAGGGAAUCUGACUGGGAAGAUACUUUAAAAAAGUCAUUUUUUGAUUUUCUAAGAAGUUUUUUUUGAACAAAUUGGAAAAAUGGGAAAAUCGGUACAAUAUUUAAACAAAUAUUAUUAAAGAAAAUAUAUGUAUAUUUAAUCAUUUUACCAUAAUAUGACAUAGAUUGUUAACAAAGCAUCAUUAUCAACUGAACUCUGCUCAGAAUUAUUUUUUCUUUAGUAAUGGUUUAUCGUUGCUUACAGAUGUAUAUUAAAUUCCCCUCUGUAUCCUACCUUCCCAACUUCCCACCUACUAUAGUAGCUGCACUCAUGUGCGACUAAGUAUAUCUGUAUUUUUAAAAAAUAAUUUUGAUAUGUUUAAUUGCAUGUUAGCUGAAGCAUAUAUUAUUGAUUUUUUAUAUAUUUUAUGAUUAUUUAGGAUGAAAAGAAAAAAGAAAGUAAACGCGUGAGUUGUCCUCGAGAAAAUUGUAAUUUGACAUUUUACAAUAGUGUUGGUCUCCGAUAUCACAUUGCAGAAAAACAUGAUAAUAUUUAUCGGUAAGUUAAUAUUUUUAAAUAGUUAACAUUUUUAUAAAUUUUACAAUUGUGUAUAUGCAUUAUAGAGUGUGUUCCACCUUUUAUUUACCACUAAAUAUCUGAGCCUGAUGACCUAAGAUUGAAAUAGGGUUUUCAGUAGGUGAUGGGGAGUACCAAAAUACACAUUUUGAUAUAAUUUUCAGUUUUUAUCCUUUCAGUGCACACACAAUUAAAACUACUAUUUUGAAUAGCAACCCUUUUUUUGUCACCAGAUAUGAAUAGAUUAAAUAUGUAUAUAUAUAUAUAUAUAUAUAUAAUUAUGAUCCAUUUACCAUGGUUUUAAACUUAAAAUUAACUGAAUUAUUGUUCUUUGAAAUUUUAAAAUAAUUUGAUGUUUUCAUUUGAAAGCAACUUUAGUAAAUAAUGGAGGAAAUUGUAAACAUUUUAUAAGAUAAAACAAUUUAACAUAAAUAAAAACAAUAUGUUACAAAGUAAUUAUCAUUUAAUUUUUUAAUAAAAAGUUCCAAAUCCACGAAUAAAUGACUUAAUACAAGUGUAUUAUUUUCAAAUUACAAAAAGCUAUAACUUAGUUAAUUUGAGGUUUAGAAAGAAUAUGGUCAAAAGAUAAAAUGACUCAGAAAAAAAUUAUCUCCCCAUAUCUGGUAACAAAAAUAAAGGUUGCUAGUUAAAAAAGUAAUUUCAACUGUACAUACAUGCAAUUAAAGGGUUAAAAACUAAAAAUUAUCUCAAAGUGUAUAUUUUGAUACUCCCCUUCAUCUACCGAAAACCCUAUUUCAAUUUUAGAUCAUCAAGCUAAGAUAUUUAGAUAUUUAGUGGUACAUAAAAGAUUGAACACAAUGUAUGUAUAUAUAUUUUUUUUAAGGUAUGAGUGUGAAACAUGUCAAAAACGAUUUGUCCGGAAAAAUCACUACGAAUUGCAUAAGACUAUUCACUUAAAACCGCAUUAUACUUGUAAUAUGUGCAGUAAAAACUUUCGCAAAAAAAAUCGUCUAGCUGCUCAUUGGAAAAAAACUCACCAACAGGAAAUAUUUGAUUUUGGCAUGCUCUUCAGUGUGGAUACUGUACACAAAUUAUAACUAAACAAUUUUUAAUAUUAUAUAAUACUUAA
rnacentral:lncRNA from 1 species